ACGACCAUAGACUGAGGAGAAUUGGGCAUCCCGUCCGCUCUGCCAUACACAAGCCUCAGAUCGGCAGAUUAGUAGUUGGGUGGGUGACCACCAGCGAAUACCUGCUGUUGUAUGUU
rnacentral:rRNA from 1 species